UCGACGGCAGCACGGGAGCAAUCCUGGUGGCGAGUGGCGAACGGGUGAGUAAUGUAUCGGAACGUACCUUUCAGUGGGGGAUAACGUAGCGAAAGUUACGCUAAUACCGCAUAUUCUGUGAGCAGGAAAGCAGGGGAUCGCAAGACCUUGCGCUGAUUGAGCGGCCGAUAUCAGAUUAGCUAGUUGGUGAGGUAAAGGCUCACCAAGGCGACGAUCUGUAGCGGGUCUGAGAGGAUGAUCCGCCACACUGGAACUGAGACACGGUCCAGACUCCUACGGGAGGCAGCAGUGGGGAAUUUUGGACAAUGGGCGCAAGCCUGAUCCAGCCAUGCCGCGUGAGUGAAGAAGGCCUUCGGGUUGUAAAGCUCUUUCAGCCGGAAAGAAAACGCGUGGCUUAAUACCCUGUGUGGAUGACGGUACCGGAAUAAGAAGCACCGGCUAACUACGUGCCAGCAGCCGCGGUAAUACGUAGGGUGCGAGCGUUAAUCGGAAUUACUGGGCGUAAAGCGUGCGCAGGCGGUUCGUUAAGAUAGAUGUGAAAUCCCCGGGCUCAACCUGGGAACUGCGUUUGUGACUGGCAGGCUAGAGUGUGGCAGAGGGGGGUGGAAUUCCACGUGUAGCAGUGAAAUGCG
rnacentral:rRNA from 1 species